rnacentral:rRNA from 1 species
CUCGUAGGCGGCCAACUAAGUCAGACGUGAAAUCCCUCGGCUUAACCGGGGAACUGCGUCUGAUACUGGAUGGCUUGAGUGUGGGAGAGGGAUGCGGAAUUCCAGGUGUAGCGGUGAAAUGCGUAGAUAUCUGGAGGAACACCGGUGGCGAAGGCGGCAUCCUGGACCACGACUGACGCUGAUGAGCGAAAGCCAGGGGAGCAAACGGGAUUAGAUACCCCGGUAGUCCUGGCCCUAAACGAUGAAUGCUUGGUGUGGCGGGUAUCGAUCCCUGCCGUGCCGAAGCUAACGCAUUAAGCAUUCCGCCUGGGGAGUACGGUCGCAAGGCUGAA